rnacentral:rRNA from 1 species
CACGUAGGGGGCGAGCGUUGUCCGGAUUUAUUGGGCGUAAAGAGCUCGUAGGCGGCUCGGUAAGUCGGGUGUGAAAACUCUAGGCUCAACCUAGAGACGCCACCCGAUACUGCUGUGGCUAGAGUCCGGUAGGGGAGCAUGGAAUUCCUGGUGUAGCGGUGAAAUGCGCAGAUAUCAGGAGGAACACCAGUGGCGAAGGCGGUGCUCUGGGCCGGUACUGACGCUGAGGUGCGAAAGCGUGGGGAGCAAACAGG